AGGAAAGGGUGUAAUGGCUCUUAUUGUUGGUGAUGGGAUUUUUCUCUUGGACUUUAUACCACAGAUAGGUCCAUCCCUCUGAAUCUUCUGUAAUACUGCACUUAAGGGUGACACUCUCUUUUGUGUAGAACACACUGACAGACGCAGGUUCCUUUGUCAACUGGGGUUUCGGUCUGCCAUCUGCAACUGAUAGGGGCAGCAGAUCACUGAGAUCUGAA